rnacentral:rRNA from 1 species
GACGAACGCUGGCGGCGUGCUUAACACAUGCAAGUCGAACGGAAAGGCCCUGCUUGUGUGUGGUUCUCGAGUGGCGAACGGGUGAGUAACACGUGAGUAACCUUCCCUUUACUUUGGGAUAACUUCAGGAAACUGGGGCUAAUACCUGAUAGGUGCGCCUGCUGCAUGGGGGGGGUUGGAAAUUUUCGGCGGUUGGGGAUGGACGCGCGGUUUAUUAGCUUGUUGGGGGGGUAGUGGCUUACCAGGACUUUGGCGGGUAGCCGGCCUGAGAGGGUGAACGGCGACAUGGGGACUACGAUACGGCCCAGACGCCAACGGGGGGCAGCAGUGGGGAAUAUGGCCCAAUGGGGGGAAGCCUGAUGAAGAAAGGCCGCGUGCGGGAUGAAGGCCUUGGGGUGGUAAACCGCUUUAGCCUGUGACGAAGCGGGAGUGACGGUAACGGGUAAAGAAGCACCGGCUAACUACGUG